CAGGAUAUGGUGUAUUAUGUAGCAUGGGGAAUUUUGGAUUCUCAGGGGUAGGUUCAACUCCUAUAAUUCUAG
rfam:Papio anubis isolate 1X1155 chromosome 9, whole genome shotgun sequence.